AAUCCGCUGGAAGCUCUGGAGGACAGGUGCUUGUUGUCUAAUGUUACGCAGCUCUCCUCUCAACUUACCGCCCCAGGAAAGGAAUUUUCGCCAGAGCAGGAGGGAGCUGAGGAAGUCUGGGCAAUCCACGACAAACCAUCUGAAAUCAGUUUCGCAGGCAGCGGAAUAAACACCUAGCCAGACGUUACGUUGCUUUUCAGAGAGUCUGCCAUGAAUGUGAGCUGACUUGUGAUCAAGGCACCUCAACAACUGAGUGAGUCCUCUGACCAACAAGGACAAACUAAGGACUUCAGUCCAACAUCCUGUGAAGAGUCACAUCCUAUCAGCAACCAGAUAAGUGAUUCCAAGAAAACAGAUGCUCCUUUCCAUAAACCCUUAGUUGAGAAGACAGCCCUGGCCAAAAUUUGAUCACAGACAUGUAUGAGACCUUGGAACAGAGACACUCAGCAAAGCAGCACCCACAGAAACUAUCAGUGACCACGAAAGAAGCAAAUUGACUCAGAGCUCUUUACUCUAAGACUUUCUCCUUGACCACUGACCUGUGUGUCUCUGAGCUCUAGCAGAGACAGUGAGCUCCAGCAGCUCAACGAAAUUGGAAGGAUUAUAAAGGGCCGGCCGUAUCGGACACGGAGCAAGGAAUCCACGGAGCAUCAAUUAGCUGCAACAUGCCGAUUAAGAGGGAUCCAGUGCUUCUCUGACUCUGCCAACAUCUGCAGCCGCCCGUGCCCAUGAGAGAGGCACCCGAGACAGAGAUUCAUCAAGCCAGAGAACGUCAAGGCUAUGUUCUCAUGCUGAAGGGGUCUUAGCAAGUAUCUGUUCCUUUCCCAGAGAAGGAGCUCUGGAGAGUCAAAGAUCUCCUUUGCUGUGUUUCCACAACACCUGGAAGAGCAGUUUCCACAGAGUGAAGACGUUGAUGAGAAGGCAAGAAGACUGCUCAGAACUCUUUAGGAAAGAAUAAAUCAAACCAACAUCUACAGAGAAUAAAGUCCGCAGCAGAAGGAAAGCAGAAGGGAAGGAGUUUUCAAAGAUGCGCAGCACAACAGCAGCCAGAAACAAGAGCUCCAGUCUGAUCAAGGGAGGUACAAACAGAAAAAGCAGCUCAAGUGAUCCUUGCUCACUUCUGAGGCCUCGAGUGGGUCCCAGAACCAGGAAAAUGUGAAUACCUGGUACAUUUCUCCGAAGCUGAUCAGACAUGCCAGAGACUGUAGAGCUACACCUCCUGAAAAUAACGAAGAUGAGGAGAAUAUGUUGGGAGUAACUAGUAAGACUUUGCUCAGGUUAGAGAAAAGCCAAGGUGUUUACAAGACAAGAAACGAAUGUAUUUGAAGGGCUCAAAUUAAACUCCUUCCAUGUAGCAGAGUCAGCAAUCACUUUCAGUACAGGGCCAGAUAGUAAAUAUUUUCAACUUUGUGAACCACAUGAAGUCUUAGUCAUAUGUUUUUCUUUUGUGUGUGUGUGUGUUUUGCCGCACUUUAAAAAUGUAGAAAACAUCCUUAGCUCACGUGAUAUACAAAAGGAAGUCUUGGCCCACAGACCAUAGUCUGCUGACUUUGAGCAAUGGCGUACUGUAGGAGGUGACAGCCAGGUGUCUUUUACAAAAUUGCAUAAAUUUACAUAAAUUAAUGGGACAGGUAUAUAUGUCUGCAUUUCAAGUCAUCUCAAAACCACACUCCCUGUCAUUUUAAAUAAUGCAAUCACUGGGGAUGAUUCAUGCAUAUGUGCCACUACUUAUAAACUGGAUUUUUCACCAACCAAAGUGGUAAGUGUUGAAAGUAGGACUCAUA